rnacentral:lncRNA from 1 species
CAGGAACAGAAAUGCCCUGGGGAAUGAGGAUUGAGCCUUCAAUUCUGUCCAGUGCAGGGUCAGAGGGGAGGUGACAUCUUCCGCCAGGUCUCCUCUUUACAGGACAGGAAAGGAGGAGUCUCAGGCAUUCGGCACAGCACGUGCAAAGGCCAAGAGGCAUACAUUGGCAAGAAGUGCCCCUGGGAUGCAGGGUGCUUGGAGGAAGGAGGUGGUGUGGGUGUGAACCGGAAGAGUCCUGGUGGGGUCAGACCAGGGAGAGAAAGAAAAGGGAGCAACACUCAACAAAGGACAGGAGUGCCAUUGGGACCCCUUCACGCUAGCCACCAUGCUUGCUCCCAAAUCAGCCUAUUUAUUGACUCCAUGCCUCUUUGUUGAAUACCUACUAUGUGCUAGGCAUUGUUACAGGUUCUGCUCCAGAAUUAUACACCAGGGAACAAGAUGGACAAACCCUGUUCUCACAGAGCUGACUUGCAGGUGACAUUGCUCAGGACAAGGAAGAGAGAGAACAAAUCAAGGUCGGAGAGGUUGAGUAUCUCGGGUGAAGUCACACUCUGGUGAAUAGUACAGCCAGGAUUCCUUUUUAUUUAGUCCUGGGGAUUGAAGCCAGAGGGGCUCUACCACUAAGCUACAUCCCCAGCCCUUUUUACUUUUUAUUUUUGAGACAGGGUCUCGCUGAGUUGCUGAGGCUGGCCUUGAAAUUGAGAUCCUCCUGCCUCAGCCUCCAGGAUUCUAAUCCUGUUUCUGCUGCUAAUAGCAGUGCUCUUAUUGCCCCGCCAUGCUGCCCUGUGUCUGGCUAAGGAGUUUGGACUUUGUCCGAAAGUCACAGGUAUCAGCAGAGUCGUGGGAGAGGGGGACACAGGGUCAGAUGUGCACUUUAGGAAUGGAAUGUGGUGGAGGAGGGAUGAUACUGGGGAGAUGGCCUAAGUAUAGAUGCUUCUUAGAUUUAUCACAGCUACCACCUCCUCCUCCACGAAUCACGUCCCUCCUUGCCCAGGUUUAUUUUCAAUGCAGUGACCAGAGAAAGACUUUACAAGCCCAAGUCUGAUUACGACACUGAUCUAAUCAAAAUGGGCCAAUGGCUUUCUGCAGGACUCUGUCUUCCAUGGACUGAACUCCUGUCACUCUUGUCCCAUUUUGCUCAACCACAGAAGUUUUGCUUUUUUCUUUUGAACAUGUCAAGGAUAUUCCUGCCUCAGGGCCUUUGCAUGUACUAGUCCCUCUGUCUUGAAGCUUAUUCCCCAGAUAUCAAGAUUAUACACCCCUUGCUGUCUUUUUUGAGGUGUCUGUUCUAACAUCAACCUUAUCAGAAAGCCUUCCCUCCCCACCUCCAUUAUUCUCUAUUCUCCUAAACUACCCAAUUUUUCUUGCUGACCCUUAUCAUCAUCUGACAGGCCAAGCAUUUGGGUAUCCGUGGCUCACUGUCUGUCUGCUACCCUAAUGAAGAAAGGGACUCUUGGUUCACUUCUUUAUCCUCAGUACCUAGAAUCAUAAUGGGCCAAGGUAAGCCCUUCGUUAAUAUUGUUGAGUGCAUUAGCCUCCUCGAGGAGGUAGGAAAGAAUGUUUUUAUAUUUCUUCCUACCCUCUGUUUAGCUCAGUGAAGCCACCAGCCGCUUCCUUGCAGCUGAUUGGAGGUCUCCUCCCACGUGGCCCAGAACAUCCUGCAUGUGAUCUAUCCACUCUGGGGACUUUCUGGGGGGCCACUCUUCCCAGGGUGGCACCGGGUUGUUGUUUUCUGUUCUGGAGUCCUGCCAGUGCUUUCCCGGUUGAUGGGAAUUUACCACAUUUCAGUUUCUUUUUUGAAUAAUAAAGUCUCCUCAUGAACCCUUGUUGUUCCUUCCCUUAGGAGGAAGCUAUCUUGUUUUUCAGUUUGAAGUUCAGGGCAGAGAAAACACGGUGGAUGGAAGGGCUGCCAGUCAUCCCGUUGCCCCGCCCCCUUCACAUGUACACAAAGGAAGGAGGAAAAGAAGGAACGUGCAAGGAACUUAGAGCUGAAAUCUCCAAAAGGAAUCAAGAAUGUCAGUGUUGGAGGGUCGUACAGAUCAUCUCCUCUCCCACUGGUUGUCCCCCUACUAUGGUGGAUACCCCAAUGGAUGCUCUUCCCCAGGGGACCCCUCUGCCAUCACAAUUACUAAAUGAAGGACAUAAGUGGCAGGAAAACUUAGCCUGGGUUAUUUCAGUGGAAUCCUGGUAGGUGACACCAAUUCUAUUAAUAAAAUUCUUG